CAGUUGGAGUUUGCGUGUUUUCCUGGAUGUUUGAGACCGCCUCACCCUGAACUUUGAAUUUUUCUGCAGCUGCUAGCUGUGCUUGCUGAGACAAAUCUUCAAUCUACAGAGCAGAAAAUACAGAUUCAUGGAACACAUGUUCUCCCACUGAGUUAAAAUUUGGUCCAUA